rnacentral:rRNA from 1 species
UCAGUUCAGACUGCAGGCUGCAACUCGCCUGCACGAAGUCGGAAUUGCUAGUAAUCGCAGGUCAGCAUACUACGGUGAAUACGUUCCCGGGCCUUGUACACACCGCCCGUCAAACCAUGAGAGUUGGCAACACCCGAAGUCGGUAGUCUAACCGCAAGGAGGACGCCGCCGAAGGUGGGGUUGAUGAUUAGGGUUAAGUCGUAACAAGGUAGC